rnacentral:rRNA from 1 species
AUUGAACGCUGGCGGCAUGCUUUACACAUGCAAGUCGAACGGUAACAGGCCUUCGGGCGCUGACGAGUGGCGAACGGGUGAGUAAUGCAUCGGAACGUGCCCAGUCGUGGGGGAUAACGCAGCGAAAGCUGUGCUAAUACCGCAUACGAUCUAUGGAUGAAAGCGGGGGACCGUAAGGCCUCGCGCGAUUGGAGCGGCCGAUGUCAGAUUAGGUAGUUGGUGGGGUAAAGGCUCACCAAGCCAACGAUCUGUAGCUGGUCUGAGAGGACGACCAGCCACACUGGGACUGAGACACGGCCCAGACUCCUACGGGAGGCAGCAGUGGGGAAUUUUGGACAAUGGGCGCAAGCCUGAUCCAGCAAUGCCGCGUGCAGGAAGAAGGCCUUCGGGUUGUAAACUGCUUUUGUACGGAACGAAAAGGUCUGGGUUAAUACCCUGGGCUCAUGACGGUACCGUAAGAAUAAGCACCGGCUAACUACGUGCCAGCCGCCGCAGUAACAC